GUGAACAUACCUCAAGUUGCUUCGGCGGGAACGCCCCGGCGCGCCCUCCGACCCCGUCCGCGGGGCCGGGGAGCCUAGCCCGGAACCAGGCGCCCGCCGGAGGUACGCAAACUCUUGUCUUCAGUAUAUUUCUCUGAGUGGCAAACGCAAAAUAAAUCAAAACUUUCAACAACGGAUCUCUUGGCUCUGGCAUCGAUGAAGAACGCAGCGAAAUGCGAUAAGUAAUGUGAAUUGCAGAAUUCAGUGAAUCAUCGAAUCUUUGAACGCACAUUGCGCCCGCCAGCACUCUGGCGGGCAUGCCUGUCCGAGCGUCAUUUCAACCCUCAGGCCCCCCGGGGACUGGUGUUGGGGAUCGGCCCGCCCUGGCGCGGCGCCGUCCCCGAAAUACAGUGGCGGUCUCGCUGCAGCCUCCCCUGCGUAGUAGCACACCUCGCAUUGGAGAGCGGCGCGGCCACGCCGUGAAACCCCAACUUCUGAUAGUUGACCUCGGAUCAGGUAGGAAUACCCGCUGAACUUAAGCAUAUCAAU
rnacentral:rRNA from 1 species